CUACUCCUACUAAUCUUAAUACCUGAAUGAUGAAAAAUUCUGUAAAACAAAUCACCAUGACACAAGUUCACCUAUGCAACAAACCUGCACAUGUGCCCCUGAACUUAAAAUAAAAAUUAAUAAAAAAAAA